CUGAAUGAGUUCCAGGACAGCCAAGGCUGUUAUGAAAAACAAAAACAUCCCCACCCCAAAUCACCUGGGAAAUAGUCUGUGGGCAUGACUGAGGAAGAUUAUCUUGACUGGGUUGGUUGAGGGAAGAUUCAUUCGGCAAAGGAGCAAACCACGAAUUCAUCAUUCUUUGCUUUCUGAUUGUGGAUCUGACAUAGCCAACUGCAUCAAGUUCCUCUUGCUUUGACUUUCCCACCAUGAUGUAAUUUAUCCUUAAUUGUGAACUAAAAGAUACCCUUUCUCCUUUAAGUUGUUUUUGCUAAUAUUUUAUCACAGCAAAGGGAAAAGAAGUUAAGACAAAAACAGGUACUAAGCAACAGGGUUGCUGCUGAGAGAAACCUAACUGUGGUCUUUAGGCCAUCAGAACUGUUUUAUGGCUGGGAUGUGACAAUCUGGACCUUUGGAUUAGAAAAGCUCUCCAGCGCUGUAAACAGGGCUUACUGGGACACUUUAGCAUGAGCUUGGAAGAUAAGAAUGCUAAGGGAAACAGCCAGUGGAGGCCUGGCUCAGAAGUUUCAGACAGGAAGAGGACUCUUAGAAUCAGGGCUUAAAAUUUGUUUUCAUUAUUUGGGUGUGCACAUUGGUGCACAUAUAGAGGUCAGAGGAUGUUUUUGUGAAGUCAGUUCCCUCUCACUGCCUCCAGGGAUUGAACUCAGGACACUAGUCUGACACAGGAAGCGUCUUCACUAAGCCAUCUCACCAGCCUGACAGUCUGCUUUGAAACUUUUGGAAUUGUUAAUGGUUAUAGGAGUUUUAAAGUUGGGGUGAAUGAUUUUUUUUUAAUUUUUAAUUUUUUUUUUUUACUUUUUAUUGAUUCUUUGUGAAUUUCACAUCAUGCACCCCAGUCUCGCUCAUCUCCCUGUGCCCUCAUAUCCAUCCUUCACCCUUGCAAUGCUCCCCCAAACUAAACACACACACACACAUACCACUACCACCAUCAACAACAACAACAACAACAACAAAGCAUAAAAAACACCUCAUCAUGAAAGCUGUAGUGUGUCACAGUGUAUCCCACAGCAUAUCCUCUGUCCACACAUCUUCUCUUACAAAUGUCCAUUGCAAUGAGUCACUGGUCUGGUUUGAGGUCUUUGUCUUCUAUGACACCAUCAAGAUUGGAUCCUCACUGGGACUCCUCUUGUUGUUGCCCUGUGUCAUGGAGCUCCUGCAGCUUUGGAUCAGCAGGACAAGCCCUUUCACAUGCCCCAACCAUUUGCAGAUGAUAGAGAUUUUGGGGAUAGGCCAACUCAGAGCCCUGAAUCUGGGCCUGGGUGGUAGCUGAGCUGGUCAGCCUGCUGAUUUCCCUUAUCUGUACCACCAGGGCAAGCUCUCCAGCACUGCUCUGGCUAGACCACCCAAUGGUGCCAUCCGUAGGAGACAGAGUCAGCUUUCCUGCCCUCAUGCCCUCUGGGCCAGCUCACCCACCACCCAUGCCUCCAGAACCAGUCCACUGUGCUGCCCAUUCAAAGUAUGGGGCCCACUCUCCCAAGUGCUGCAGCCUGUGAGGGACUGUACCAGCCCUCUUGAGCUCACACCCUGGGACUCACCCCAGCCUUCCCUUCGCCAACAGGGCCAGCUCCACUGUCUUGCUGCAGCUGGUGAGGGACAGGGCCAGCUCACCCACUCUCAAGACCCAGGGUCAGCUCUCCAGACUGCUGAAGGUGGGGGGAGGGGCAUGGACCUCAGCAGCAGCUCAGGCUGGGACCUCACUGGCAGGGCUGGAUACUCACAGCAAGUUGCUCCUCUCCGCCCUCGAGUCUCCAGUUCCAUCUCUCUUCAUAACGCUCAAGCAGCUCCAAUUCUCUUUGUCUCCCAUCUGUCCACCACAUACUUGCACAUCGUGGUGGAUUCCACUGCAGGCUGGUCGAAUGGCUGGCAUGUUCCUGGGUGAAUCCUCCACCUGUGCUGCAUGGUGUGGUGGCAAGCAGGUGCCGAUGACUCUCUUGUGCUGUGCACUGGAGGGCAGGUCUGUGGGUAACAUGGCAGUCCUUGACACAGGUCUGUAUCUGUAUCUUCCUCCGCACGAGCUGCACUGCCUGGAUUUACUUUGAUUUGAUUUUUAUGAGUCCUAGGCAUAAAACAGCUUUGGCCACCAAGCCAGAUAUUAAUCUAGGUUGAACAUCUGUUCUGCCCCUGACACCACCACCAAGGUGUCUCUUUGCCCAUUGCUGGGGUGGGGGUGGGGAAGUGAGUGAAUUUUAUAUUGUAAAACAGUCGUAAUCCUGUGAGUACACAAAUGAAAGGUUUGGAUUAAAAGCGGUGUGUUUGCCUGACAAGCUGAUGGGGCAGACUUGAAAUAGAAUGCAGAAACAUCUGAAAGAGAGGCCUCGGGGCAUGCUUGCCGGUAGGGAGGAUUAUCUUGAUUAUAUUCAUUAAAGUGGGAAGAUUCAUUCACUUUGGGCAAUAGGAUUCCCUAAAUGGGAUGCUGGGCUGCCUAAGUGGAGAACAGUUGCUGAGCAGCACGCAGGGACUGCAUCCAUCCCUCUGUUUCCCAUGGCAGAUGUGAUAUGACCACCUCUUCCAGCUCCUUGAGUUCCUUGCCACGAUGGACUGGACUAAACUAAACCUUCUCUUCCUUAAUUUGCUUCUGUUGCAGCCUUUUAUCAUCCAUAACAAGC
rnacentral:lncRNA from 1 species